UCCCACAUCGUCUGGUUAGAGAACACAUGACGUAUUUAAGUAGGCGAAGCGGAGAACUAUUGACUUGUCCCUUCGGGGACAUCCGAUAAAAUUGGAACGAUACAGAGAAGAUUAGCAUGGCCCCUGCGCAAGGAUGACACGCACAAAUCGAGAAAUGGUGGGUGUGGAGACGGAAGUAAUAGUGGCGAGAGGGUAGCCAAAGAAGAGAGCUUUCAAGAAGUUCAGUUUUAGAGGCGCUGAUUUAGAUGCUCUCCUUGACAUGUCCACCGAUGUACUUGUCAAGUUCUUUCCCGCCGGAGCGGGCUGCAGGGUUUUGGGUUUAUUGCAACGACGGGUUUCAAAGAGGUGUGAAGAGGAAGCCACUGACAUCGAUCAAGAAAUUGCGUAAAGCUGUAAGAUGUUUGUCCCUCGAAGGUUGGAGGGAGAACAUCUAUACUGCAAACACAUGGCACAUAUUCAGUUUUCACAGAAAAAUCAUGGCUGGUGAUAAGCAUUGAUUCUGCUAAACACAACAUGACUUGAAGAGAGUGCCAUAUACAGAUCAAAAAACACUGCAGAAGGUUCAUACGAUCAGCUCCAUCCAUUUUGGUAUGUUUUUAUGUGGAUGAACAAAUUGCCGCUUAAGUUUCUUCAAUGAGGCAAUGGUCACAUGAAUAUUGCUCUCAAAUAUAUAUUUUUUUAACAAAAUUAAUGUACAUUAAUUAUGAACUACCCGCAGUGAAACAUGGACAACCAUUUAGUUUUUUGCUAAAUUGAUUCCGAAACAUGCCAGUUGUUACUGUUCUUAAACGAAAAAAAAGAUAAAAACAAUGGGACAUAGAUUUUAUUUUGAAAAUAUAAAAAAUUAUUUAAAACCGUUUCAAAAACAAAUUUAUUUUAUGUUUUUGUUCUUUAACUAUAUAUGUUUUUGUCCAAAUUGUUUUUGUUUUUUUUUAUCUUGAAAUAGUAAAUAAACGCUACCGAUUUUAUUUGUAUAGCUAGAAAAUACAACUAAAAUUAGGUUAAACAUUUUUCAUAAACAACCUUCUAAUUUCAUCCUAAUUUUAUAAAAUAGAAGCAAUAUUGUAGACCUUCCAUGACCAAUAAUAGAUAUUUUCAAGAAAUAGAAAAGGAAAACUCAUGCCUCGCCCCAUAUUAUGUUUCCUAUCAUUCAAAAUAGUAACACCGAAAGAAAAUAUAAUAAAACAUUGAGAAUUAAGAUCAAAAUAAAAUAAUAUAUAUUUUAUUUAAACAAAUUUUAAUAUAUUUAUUUUUAUCUCUAGAACUAAAUAUAUUAUUUAUUAUCUUUAUUAUUUGUAUCUUUUCUAUUGUGAAAUAGUAAAUAAACACAAGCUUGAUAAACGUUUUUCAUAAACAACCUUUAACUUUGAAGCUAAUAUAAUCUUUUGUUCUUUUAUUUUGAUAUGGGUUACUUUUCCAAAAAUAUUUCUACAAAGUAUAAAUAAUAACACAUUAAGUCAAAAUAAUAAAACAAUAUCGAGAAUUGAGACCAAAAUAAUAGAUUACUGGUGGUGACGUAAUCAAGUUGAGAGCCAACCCAACUGAGCGAAACACGUAGUCGCAACGGGACUAGAUAUCCCACAUCGUCUGGUUAGAGAAAACAUGACGUAUUUAAGUAAGCGAAGCAGAGACCUGUUAGUUGUCCCUUCGGGGACAUCCGAUAAAAUUGGAACGAUACAGAGAAGAUUAGCAUGGCCCCUGCGCAAGGAUGACACGCACAAAUCGAGAAAUGGUGGGUGUGGAGACGGAAGUAACAGUGGCGAGAGGGUAGCCAAAGAAGAGAGCUUUCAAGAAGUUCAGUUUUAGAGGCGUUGAUUUAGAUGCUCUCCUUGACAUGUCCACCGAUGUACUUGUCAAGCUCUUUCCCGCCGGAGCGGGCUGCAGGGUUUUGGGUUUAUUGCAACGACGGGUUUCAAAGAGGUGUGAAGAGGAAGCCAAUGACAUCGAUCAAGAAAUUGCGUAAAGCUGUAAGGUAAUUUCUUUUCUUCUAUAUCUCUCUGUAUUUGUUUAUGACUUCAUAAGAUAGCUAUUCACACUGUGCAAUUUGGUAUUGAGUAGUGUUAUCAUGUGUUCAUUUCACAUUAUGGGAUGUGUUUUCUUUUCUUUAUCUCUUCACUCUUUGUCUCUUGUUUGUGUUUAUCAAGUUUGCUCUGCAAUUGCAAUAAUGGUGCUUGAAAAGUUAUCGAAGAAGAAGCUCGAGUUUAUAACAGAAGGGCUGGUUUAUUCAAUAGAAGUUAGAAAUGAUAUGUAUAGCUAUUAAUUGAACAGAGUUCUGAUGACUGCCUCUGCAGUGUAACCAUUCUGCAAAAAUUAUUUUGGGUGUUUCUGUGUGCUUGUUUCCAUACCCUUUCAUGCAUGUAUUCAUGUAUGUGCAGUUCAGGUCACUGAAUUUUCAUUUGGGACUUGUUUGUGAAAAAUGCAUCAAACUGUGACCAUUUAGAAAACAGAGAUUCUAAAGCUGGUUCCCAAAUCAAGUUGCCUUACAAGAAUAUUUUAAAUUUCCGGUUAAACCCUCAUGGUAUGGUAUAUUUUGAGUAUAGUCUGUGGUCUACUCUGUUUUUUGGUGGCUUGGAACAGAAAAGGGAGGCCCCAGAUGGGGAGAAGCCAGAGCCCUUGAGGACUCAUCUUACAAAUAUGAUCAUUGUGCCCGAGAUGAUUGGCCAUUAUCUUUCUGGGUUCUCAGUUUCUUACAAGCCCGUUAUGCAUGGAAGACCUGGUAUUGGUGCAACACGCUCUUUCAGAAGAGGGAGCUGCUCGUAUGAACUUAAGCGAGAAAUAGAGAGCCAACUCAGUUAUGGUGCCCAAAGUGUGAAUAUGAAGAUUCCACAAGUUAUUUUACCUGUAUUUCUCCUCCAUGAGGAAUUUGGCAGAGCAACAGGGAGGGUACGCUGACCAGAUUAUAGGAGAUGACAUUCCCUAACUACUAUGAAUUCUUCUGCGUGCAUCUGAUAGGUUGCUCAACGUCUGUCGUGAUGAAUAAGCUUAAAGCAGCUCAGAGAGGUUUACACGUUGCUUGAGAACAUAAGCUCCCCAAGUAGCCAUGAAAAUGAUGGCAGUCAGGGUUUGGAUAAGCAGGCGACCUGUUUGAAGCUGUGCUUGAUACCAGGAAAUUAAGGAAAAGCUUUUAACAUGCCACACUGUUGUUAAACAGGUGAAUAGGAUCCCUGGUUUUCUCUUUAUUUCACUGUAAAGUCAGGAGCAACUCUUCUUUUUAUUUCUCUGUAGAUGCCAAGGGAAUGCUUGUCACAGAUAAAACAGCAUGCAUUAAGUUAAUUACUUUAUAAAAAGAGCCGAAAA